rnacentral:rRNA from 1 species
CAGUCGCCGCGGGAAUACGGAGGGUGCAAGCGUUAUCCGGAUUUAUUGGGUUUAAAGGGUCCGUAGGCGGACUUAUAAGUCAGUGGUGAAAGCCUGUCGCUUAACGAUAGAACUGCCAUUGAUACUGUAAGUCUUGAGUAUAUUUGAGGUAGCUGGAAUAAGUAGUGUAGCGGUGAAAUGCAUAGAUAUUACUUAGAACAUCAAUUGCGAAGGCAGGUUACCAAGAUAUAACUGACGCUGAGGGACGAAAGCGUGGGUAGCGAACAGGAUUAGAUACCCCAGUAGUCCCUGUCUCUUAUAC